rnacentral:rRNA from 1 species
GACAGAGGGUGCAAGCGUUGUUCGGAAUUACUGGGCGUAAAGGGCGUGUAGGCGGUGGAGUGUGUCUGGUGUGAAAGCCCUCGGCUUAACCGGGGAAAUGCAUUGGAAACUACUCUGCUGGAGUGCGAGAGAGGAAGGCGGAAUUCCUGGUGUAGAGGUGAAAUUCGUAGAUACCAGGAGGAACACCGGAGGCGAAGGCGGCCUUCUGGCUCGUAACUGACGCUGAGACUCGAAAGCGUGGGUAGCAAACAGG